rnacentral:lncRNA from 1 species
GCCCCAAAAACAAACAUGUGCCUUUGGAUCCAGCAUAUUACUCUGGACUGUUCAGUGACAUGCGUAGAGUUGUGUAGCUUAAGCCAGUUUGAGCUGGGUUUUCUGUCACUCUCAUCUAAAGGAUUCUGACACAUACAGAUGAACUGACAUGUCCUAUGGCUAGAAUGGAAUGUGAAUCUUGCUAAUCUCGCUACUUCAGAGAAGGCAUGGGGAGGAGAGGUGGCCGAUUUCACUGUAGUCUUGGUUAUGUCUUCAGCCAGUUGGGACUGCUGGGAGAACCGUGUCAUCUUUCUGAGUCCUAGUGUACUUGUACGUCAAAUGAGAGAGGAGUAAUAGCACUGCAGAGCCAAGGAGACUGAUCUUGAAGCCUACUUUAGAAUGUUAUUGGUCAGCGUGGAUAUGGCAGAGGACUUCCAUGAGAGGAGAGGUGACUUGGGUUCCAGCAAG